UUAUGGAGGAUGGGCUGAACGGAAACAAAACUGGGAACAUAUAUUUGUAGUCUAACAGCAGCUGUGGAGGGUCAUUUCGCUCUUGCAAAUUUGCCUAUGAGGUUUGUGUGGAAAAAAUAAAAGUGACCUUCCUUCAAAGCAGUGAACAGAUCUUCCCGCCGGAGAUGCAUCCAUGAUGCUGCAUAAGUAGCCAGGAAGUUUGCAGCAGAGCAACACACGUUGUAACUUGUCACAAAGUGAUGGAAAGUGCUGCCCAUUCAACUCCAGGAGUGAGUGUGUGGACCUGGACACUGAAUAUGACUCUCUUGUGUAGCAGCACACACUACCAGCAACAUGCUUGUCCUUUUAUCUAGUACAUCAGCAGGACUGAGAAAAAUGUUAAGCACUAGUUACUAUUUUCCUGCUUUCUCUUUUUGACAUUCAAGAUGCCAUGGCACUCUUCAGAAGAGCAGGACAUUUUCCUAGUCACCUGGUAAAAAUUUCCCUGCUCUCCACUAAUGUACAGCAUGCUGGGUGGGAGUUGAUUGCUGUUUUCCAUCUCACAAGUGGCUGCAUUUCAGUGAUGUCUGACAUUCCUGUAUCCUACUAGCCUUACUUGCAGGACUAGUCCCAUUGAGAAAAUGAACACUUGAGUGCCCAGAUACUAUACCGAUAAGUAGAACUGGGCAAUUUUUAUUUUUUUUGGUGAAUAGUAAACCAAAACGUUGCAAAUUUGACAUGAAAUUGCUGAAUAGUUUCAGCCAAAAUCUUGUUUUCAGGAUUGAGAUGCCAUUCACAAAAUGGCUGGAGGAUGAAACAGUGGUAGUGCAUGCCUUGUAAAGUGUAGCUCAGUGCACUCACCUAAGAUAUGAAAUAGGAGUCAGGUUCAAUUGCCCCCUCUAUCUGAUCUGAAGAAGGGAUUUAAACUUGGAUCUCACAUACUGCAGAAAAGUUCCCUUACUCCUGGGGCUAUUGGAUAGUCUGGAGUGGGUCUUUCUCAAUCUCUCCUGUUGAAGUGGUUCCACUUCGUAUAAAUAAUUAGUCAUUGGAGGUUGGGACAAAGAUAGAGAGUGAGAAUGACUAUGCAGCCAAGUGCUUAGGGCACUCUUCUGCAAUGUGGGGCACCCAAGUUCAAAUCACUUCUCCAUAUCAGGAUUAGGAGGGAACUGAAUGUCUCUCCCCCACAUCCCAGGAGAGUGCCCUAACUACUAGGUUAAUGCUUCUAAGGGAGGU